rnacentral:rRNA from 1 species
GCUAGUUGUGCGGGUUUAGACCCGCAGCGGAAAGCUCAGUAACACGUGGCCAAGCUACCCUGUGGACGGGAAUACUCUCGGGAAACUGAGGCUAAUCCCCGAUAACGCUUUGCUCCUGGAAGGGGCAAAGCCGGAAACGCUCCGGCGCCACAGGAUGCGGCUGCGGUCGAUUAGGUAGACGGUGGGGUAACGGCCCACCGUGCCCAUAAUCGGUACGGGUUGUGAGAGCAAGAGCCCGGAGACGGAAUCUGAGACAAGAUUCCGGGCCCUACGGGGCGCAGCAGGCGCGAAACCUUUACACUGUACGAAAGUGCGAUAAGGGGACUCCGAGUGUGAAGGCAUAGAGCCUUCACUUUUGUACACCGUAAGGUGGUGCACGAAUAAGGACUGGGCAAGACCGGUGCCAGCCGCCGCGGUAAUACCGGCAGUCCGAGUGAUGGCCGAUCUUAUUGGGCCUAAAGCGUCCGUAGCUGGCUGAACAAGUCCGUUGGGAAAUCUGUCCGCUUAACGGGCAGGCGUCCAGCGGAAACUGUUCAGCUUGGGACCGGAAGACCUGAGGGGUACGUCUGGGGUAGGAGUGAAAUCCUGUAAUCCUGGACGGACCGCCGGUGGCGAAAGCGCCUCAGGAGAACGGAUCCGACAGUGAGGGACGAAAGCUAGGGUCUCGAACCGGAUUAGAUACCCGGGUAGUCCUAGCUGUAAACGAUGUCCGCUAGGUGUGGCGCAGGCUACGAGCCUGCGCUGUGCCGUAGGGAAGCCGAGAAGCGGACCGCCUGGGAAGUACGUCUGCAAGGAUGAAACUUAAAGGAAUUGG